UACGUAGGGUGCAAGCGUUGUCCGGAAUCAUUGGGCGUAAAGAGCGUGUAGGCGGUCCGGUAAGUCCGCUGUGAAAGUCCAGGGCUCAACCCUGGAAAGCCGGUGGAUACUGUCGGACUAGAGUCCGGAAGAGGCGAGUGGAAUUCCUGGUGUAGCGGUGAAAUGCGCAGAUAUCAGGAGGAACACCUAUGGCGAAGGCAGCUCGCUGGGACGGUACUGACGCUGAGACGCGAAAGCGUGGGGAGCAAACAG
rnacentral:rRNA from 1 species